rnacentral:rRNA from 1 species
AACCCUACGGGAGGCAGUAGUAGGGAAUUUUCGUCAAUGGGCGCAAGCCUGAACGAGCAAUGCCGCGUGAACGAGGAAGGUCUUCGGAUCGUAAAGUUCUGUUGAAGGGGAAAAAGAGCGGAGAGAGGAAAUGGUCUCCGAUUGAUAUUACCCUUCGAGGAAGUCACGGCUAACUACGUGCAAGCAGCCGCGGUAAUACGUAGGUGGUGAGCGUUAUACGGCAUGAUUGGGCGUAAAGGGUGCGUAGGCGGCCUGCUAAGUCUGGAGUGAAAGGUACCG